UGGGGAAUAUUGCACAAUGGGGGAAACCCUGAUGCAGCGACGCCGCGUGAACGAAGAAGGUAUUCGUAUCGUAAAGUUCUGUCCUAUGGGAAGAUAAUGACAGUACCAUAGAAGAAAGCUCCGGCUAAAUACGUGCCAGCAGCCGCGGUAAUACGUAUGGAGCGAGCGUUGUCCGGAAUUAUUGGGCGUAAAGGGUACACAGGCGGUUUAAUAAGUCGAAUGUUAAAGAUCGGGGCUCAACCCCGCAAAGCAUUGGAAACUGAUAAACUUGAGUAGUGGAGAGGAAAGUGGAAUUCCUAGUGUAGUGGUGAAAUACGUAGAUAUUAGGAGGAAUACCAGUAGCGAAGGCGACUUUCUGGACACAAACUGACGCUGAGGUACGAAAGCGUGGGGAGCAAACAGG
rnacentral:rRNA from 1 species